UGUGUGUGUGUAUGUGUGUGUGUGUGUGUGUGUGUUUCCACUUUCUUUUUUUGGAGAAAAUAUACUUGCUUGAGGAUAAGGAAGGGAGUCUAAAACCAAUGCUAAUGGGCAUCCAUUGUAAUACCAGCUGAUUCUACCAUGUUCACUUUAAUUUUUGGUUCAAUAAUCAUUUUUCAAAUGGCUUAGAUAUUUGUAUGAUUCCCAGCUGUUCUAGAUGAUCACAGCACAACUUAGCUUUUGCUUUAAAUGUCAAACAUGAGGGAUACUUGCAAAGUAUUAAUUGGUUAAAUUUACUGGUUUUCAAUAACUAUUAAUUCAUUAUCAUUUUUUGUUAUGGAUAGUUAAUCUACAUUAUUCUCAGUGAAGAUCAUAUCCUAUUAAUUAAUUUAGCUUUCUGAAAACAUGAUUGAUCUGGAAUUCCAGGGAAGAAAAAGUUAGAGAUGUCUGAUCAUUUCAAAAGCCUUUCUUCCGUCUCCAUUGUCCAAAACCAAAGCUAUAUUGGAGAACAAAUUGUACAGUAAAUGUUUACAUGUUUUCCUUAUGAUCUAACAUGUAUUAAUUUAAAACUCAUGCACAAACAUUAUGCACUACAGAUGAUUAAAAAUAAAGAGCCUAGAGAAUAAUGUGUGAUCUUGCUUUCUUUAAUGUAUGUAUUUGUGUCAAUACCAGUGACUGAGUGGUAUACAAUUUCAUUUUUCUUUAGUUCCACAGUAAACUCAAGAUCAUUUCUGGAUGCUUCUCAGCUUUUCCAGCUCAUGUUGAGCUAUAGGUGGGGAGGGUAGAAUGUUUCUGCUUCAACAGAAAUUUUUCCCAAUCCACACUGAAUGAAAUAUCCAUGUGUCUCAUAGUUCAUUAAUCUUUAUUCUGAGUUCUUGUUACAACUAGAAUUUUUAGUUCCUCAGCACAGUUCAGCAAGUCUCAUUUCUAAUGAAAUAACCUUUAACUAAAUCCUCAUUUCACUGUCUGUCAGGUAAAAGUUAAGAACACUAAGUUAGUCCUAGACUCUUCUCAAGGAGCCUUCAGACCAUUGAGUGAGAAGGAUAUAAAUGAUCAAUUUCACUGAAGCACAGUAAGUGCCUAAUAACACAGAAAAGGGAAAGACACAUGCUGCUUAGAGGAAGAAUAAAAGAACACCCCCAAAAUUACACAUGAUCUCAGCUUUGAAAGAUAAUUAGCAGUUAGCUAGGAAAAGAAAACGGUGACUGUAUGCAAAGACACAUUGGCAUAUUCAGAGAUCAUGUGGAAUUCAGAGUGAUUAGAUCAGGACAUUUAUCGAGAAGUGGUGGGUGGAGGGAGGAUUCUGAAAAAUUUAAUGAAAAUCUGAUCUUGAAAAUUUUUAUUCUCUGAGGACUUUGGACUUGAUUCGGUCGGUAAUAAGGAAGUAAACGGAAAUUUAAAGCAGAAGUGAUUUGUGAAUAUUUGUUUUUUAUGAAGUUAUUUCUAGCAUAAGAGGAUUAAUUAGGAAUCAGUAGCAGGUAAAGCAGUACAAAAAAAAGAGAUAUCCCUAGCCUUGGAGAGAAGAUGGAGAAGAGGAUUAAUGCUUACCAGAUGUUCAUGAAAUGUAAUUGACAGGACUUGCUAUUGGUUGGGCUUAAAUUGUGAAGGGGUUUGCUUAGGAGGUUAACUUUGAAGUACCUGAAAUCACUAGGGGUAACUAACAAAUCACUAUAAAUUCAUGCUUGGCAUUUGAGAGAGAGUAGAAAUAACAUUGAUAUACUAAACAAAGUGCAGAGUGGUUAGAAUGAAAAGAUAAAUUCACCAAAGGCAAAACUCCAACGGCAGGGUUUUCAUUGUCAGAUUGUAGAAGGUGCUAUCUUUAGUAGAAUUCUCCACUUUCCAAGUUUAGUAGGAUUUCUACACAUUCAGCUGAAUGUGAACUAUCUUAUGACUCACCAAUAUAAAUUAUAUUUUACAUGCCCUUUGAAUCUCUGAGAAAAGAAUUGGCUUAAUUGGUAGUUUAUUAUCCUUUUUUAUUUUUAAAGACAUUUAGGUAUUAGAACAGUAGUGAUAUGUUUCUUCAUAAUAAUAACAGUAGUGAUUACUAAUUACUUUGAAAUGUUAACUAGAAGUACAAUGCUAAGGGUUAUAUUUACAAUUCUAUAAAGUAAGAACAAUUCCUAGCCUUAUUUUAUUACAGAUGAAGAAAAUGAAAUUUGGAGAGUUCCAUAACUAGGAUUCAACUUUGGGUUUCAUGUCUCCAAGAUCCCAUGCUCUACAGGAGCGGUUUUGAAAUGUUACUGAUGCCUUGAUCCACCUCGAGAUUUUGGCUUAAUUGCCUUGAGUGAAACUCAGUCCUAAACGGUCCACUGAUAGUUCUAAUUACAGCCAGAUAUGCAAACCACCGUUUUAAACCUUAUCAUUUCACUACCUUCUGCUUUGGAAGAUACCAUCACAAUCACAAUCUCAAUUGCUCCCCCUGGAGCUCAAUGCAGAUAGUGCACUAUGGAGCUGCACAGUGUGGCAGCUGUGCCUAAACACAAAUUCAUCCUCUGGAAAACCCUCAAAUCCAAGAGUUUUAAUAAGUAUAAUUAAUUUAAAGCCUUUCUUUAUAGCAAAAAAAAGAGAGUCUGGAAAAAUUUUCUAACUCAUUAGGAUUAUGUGAUAGUUUUAAUCAUAUUGUUUUUAUAUUUAUCAAGAAAAGAUAUAAUCAAUAUAUUUAUUUGAUUGAAUUUAGGUAUAACCAAUAAAAUAAUCAUAGAUUGAGAAUAUUUUAAUUUUUGAAAUGGAGGGCAAUGUCAUGAUGUGACUAUUUGUGGCUAUUUUGUUGGAGAACGAUAGAAAUGACACAACUGUGAAAUGAGGGGGACUAGAAUGAACUGCCGAUCUCAAAACGUGCAGUUUUCUCAUGGCUUUAUUUACUUGUUUGAGGACUUCACAGAGCUCCUGACCAAGUAGAAGGGAUGAAGAACCUAUCCAAAAAUAACAAAAUCAAGGAAGAGGCAGGACAGUACUAGGCUGAAGGUCUAGAUAGAAUCAGCUCUGUUAUGGCGCUGGGACGGUGCAGUGUGAUCCUGGGUAGCAGGAGGAAACUUUUAUGAAUGAAGGCAGUGGGAAUGGAAGGAGAACAAUAAAAACACUUGUUCUUAUGGAAAGAGAAUGAGCAUUGGAGAUAGAUUAGUCUACUCUCAUACUUCACUAGCUGUGUGAUCUCAGGUCAAAUCAUUAACAACUCUGAAGGUCAGUUUGCUUUUCUAUAAAAAGAGGUGGUAAUGAACUUAUAAAUGUGAAAGUACCCAACCCAGAACUUUGUUACUGAUUUUUUUCUUCACAUUGGCUUCAGCUGAAACAUAGUGGUGGGAAAGCAGGAAACUCCAGAGAAUGGCGAGGUGGUGGUGGUAAAUCAAAGAGAAGGUGAAAAUUAGGUGGGCUAGAGAUGGAACAGUUUCAAGAACAGACACACAUAAUCAAUUCCACUUGCUUGCAAAGGAAAAACCACCGCUGUAACGCAGCAGCCUCUUAUCCAUCCAGGGAAAAUUCAGCUUGCCAUGCUUUUGGCAGCAUGGGCUGGAUACUCUGUAGGGUCCCCUCACAAAGAGCACAGGCUACAGUCACUUCAUUUUCUAAUGCUGCUGCCUGAGUUUUCAUUUAAUUAACAAGGCUGACCUUUAGAAUGAGAGUUUUUUUUUCUUCCUUUAUCUUAGCUUUACUAUGAUCCUAAUGGAAGCUGAAAAUCCGACAGUAAAGAGGUCCAAGGUUUCACUGAUAAGGCUAAUGUGUUGUUUCUGUAUUUACAGAAAAAAAAAUUAAUAGGCAUAAUUAUAGAUGCAUAUGCCAAAAUCCCUUUCAGAUAAAUCUGACCUUAAGUAGGUGGGAACAGCAGGAAAUGAAAGAUAAGCCCUGGAUAAGUAUAUAUCAAAAAAGACAUCCCAUAUACCAAAAAACUGAGGCCCUAACAACACAUGUCCUUGUAAUUAGCUGUAUUAACAGCAUAUUAGAGUUAGAUUCUUACUCAAUCCUCUCAACCUCUGGAUAUGGUGAAGUACCUACUUUAAGCCUCUGUUGUGCACAGCGUCUGUGAUGCUCUCUAGACAGAAUGGCCAAAUGAACCGGGGAGAAAGGGGAGAGUGACCCGCUAUGGUGAAUGCCAUGGGGCCGCAGCCCUGCAUGCUCUGUCUUUGCUCAUGGUUGAUGAUGUUGUCCUUUGUCCUUUAUACUAUUAGCAAGCAGAUGGUGGCCCUCAAGCACCAGCAGAGUCUAGAGAAUAAUGCGUCAUUGGCUCUGCCCUGGAUUUAUCCACAAACUCCCAUGAGCCAGUGUCUGCUUAGAGAGUUAGUAAGAUCUGCCUUGAUCCUAAGUAUAAGAGCCAUAACUGUUAUGCUUGUGUUUUCUUCUUGAGUGCCCUUUUCUCUUUCUAUUAGGGAAUACUUUUUGUCGGCUCUUCAGGGAGACUGUUCACAUGAAUGGAAUUCUAAAUGGAGAUUCUGUUUCUAAACUAGAGCUAACUCUGUUCCUGACUGUGUCUGCAGACUAAGGAGUGCCUCGUUGUCAUUAAGUGCGUGGCUUCACACUAGGAUCACUCAUUCGGAUGAUGAUAAAAGGCCUGUGAAGCUAAAUGAAACUAGAAGCUAAAACUGUUAUCCAGAGCUAGUGACACUGGACUCCUCUCCAGGGAACCAACUGCGUCUAUUUAAAAUAAACUUUCAGCUUGGCACCUGGAACAGUGGCUUCAAGUACAAGUAUAAUGACCAACAACUCUUGUAAAAUUAGAACACUGCCUUCUCUCACAUCGAUGGAAUGACCUGACCCAUUCUUGGGAAGAAGUAAUGAGACCCACAUAAAAGAUGUUUAAACUUCAACCUAGAGGACGAUGUAAGUUUCCAGAUGCUUCUCUAAAUUUUCAAAGAAUUGGAGAGCAUUUAUUGGUUUCCAUGGAUGACAGAAGCAUUUUUUUAAAAAUUUUGCUUUACAAAUUAUGUAAAUUUUUACAAAUUGUACAAAUUCUGUUUUGCAUGCAAUAGUUCUAGUUCAUGCCCUCCCUACCCCCAGCAUCCUGUUUAAUUCUGCAUUUAUCACAUUUUAAAAAGCGAAAACUACAUUGUUAGUACUGGUUACAUUAAAAUACAUCAGAAUGGAUUUAUUCUUGCAUUUUGUACUUCUAGCUUCUGUCAUAGUCUUACCUAUUAGCAUGUUUGAGGUGCAUAUACCAUGAAUCCAGUUCUCACUCUAUAGGACUCUACAGAAUAUAACUCCUUAAGUCUUAAAGAAAAUGAAUGAUAAACCCAACUUUCCUAUCCCAACCCUUUCCAGAAUUGAACACACAUCUCUUUUUUAGGUAUUAGUCAGCAGGUACUUGUUGAUGAAACAGUGUGUAUUGACAGGGAAAGCUAGGGAGUACUAUAUCUUUCUGGUUUUAGUUUGUAUUAGAAAACGUGGGCAAUUCUGCUGCUUCUGCCAGGCACUUAGUGCUAGAGCCAGUUGUGCCAUGGCCUACGUUGCUGGUUUCAAAAGCAUGAAGCCUCCGGACCACCAGUUAGUAAGUCAUUGGAAAAUGUGGGAGAUUCUAGAUUACUUAUAUCUGAAAUACGUAUAGGAAACAGAGGUUAGGUAGUUCUGCCACACGGUUUAUAGAGAAAAGUCUGAAAUCUCUUAUUAUGAUAGUUUUGUGCUAUAAAUCUACAAUAUUUACUUGUCUUUUUGAAAGAUAUCCUUUAAGCAGCAAUGAGUUCAAAAAGGAAAGUGCAUGUACAAUAAAAUAUAAAUACUACAUUUCAAUUUCUCAAGAAAAUUGAUAAUGAUUGUAAAUUGAAUAAACUCUUUGUCAACUUUUAUCAUUUUUCAUGGGGGUUGUGGUAAUGUCAUUGUAAACAUGAAAUACAAGACAAAAAGCUGCUUAAGAAGCAUUUGCAUCUAUUUCAAAAGCUAAUAAUCAUUUU